CUCGUGACAACAGAGGAAAGAGCAGAUCAUGGCACCAAAUCCUGCCCUGGAGCUGAGCAGGGCUCAAGGAGUGGCCCCGUGUGGAGAAGCAGAUGGAGCUCUGCAAACUAUCAGCAUGCUGGAUUUUAUGGAGCAUUUCUGGAGCUGAGGGACAACUGUCUGGGAAUUUCCAGCGUGCAGGUGGUAAAACACUGACUGCCAUGAACUUCAUCAGGAGAACAAAAAAAAAAAAAAGAGGAAAAAGCUGUGGUUUGGAAGCAGCUGGAUGGCAAACUGCAGGCUAGGAAUGUGGCUGCCCAAACCACCACAAGGAGUGUGGGGCAUGGAGGCAUUUGUGGAGCAUUCUGUUUGCUAAUUGCUCAUGGAA